rnacentral:rRNA from 1 species
UACAGAGGGUGCAAGCGUUGUCCGGAUUUAUUGGGCGUAAAGAGCGUGUAGGCGGUUCGGUAGGUCCGUUGUGAAAACUCGAGGCUCAACCUCGAGACGCCGAUGGAAACCCUCGAACUAGAGUCCGGAAGAGGAGAAUGGAAUUCCUGGUGUAGCGGUGAAAUGCGCAGAUAUCAGGAAGAACACCCGUGGCUAAGGCGGUUCUCUAGUACGGUACUGACGCUGAGACGCGAAAGCGUGGGGAGCAAACAGG